ACUCUGCAGGACACCGGCCCUCCAGGACCAAGUUUGGGCACCCCUGGCGUAGAGCAACCACCCAAUUCAACCAACCUGGCUGGGACAUGAUUAUCAAUGUCUACUCUGAAAGCUCGUGCACCACGACAAUGAAAAGCCAUGAUCAAUGGAGCUCCGAAAUGAUGAUUCACCAUGCAGCACCCGACAAAAAGACGUCCACAUACUUCAAUACGCAAAAGAGAAAAAAAACAACAACAACAAAAAAAGC